rnacentral:rRNA from 1 species
CGUAGGGAGCAAGCGUUGUCCGGAUUCACUGGGUGUAAAGGGUGCGUAGGCGGGAGAAUAAGUCAGCGGUGAAAUCUUACGGCUCAACCGUGAAACUGCCGUUGAUACUGUUUUCCUUGAGUUCGGGAGAGGUUGAUAGAAUUCCAGGUGUAGCGGUGAAAUGCGUAGAUAUCUGGAAGAAUACCAGUGGCGAAGGCGGUCAACUGGCCCGAAACUGACGCUGAGGCACGAAAGCGUGGGGAGCGAACAGGAUUAGAUACCCUGGUAGUGCACGCCCUAAACGAUGAAUGCUUGGUGUUGGCUUUAAAUAGUCAGUGCCGGAGGAAACCUGGUAAGCAUUCCACCUGGGGAGUACGCUCGCAAGGGUG